rnacentral:lncRNA from 1 species
UUGCUAGUUCGUGGAUAGAACAUAAUUAAAAAUUUUUAGCUCGUAAACCAAUCCGCAAAAUGGUGAAUUGGACAUGCAUUGAUUCAAAUCCGCAUCCGAUCCACAUAUAUAUAAAUUGGAUUUGGAUUGAAUUUCACCAAUCUGUGGAUUCGAUUAGAUUAAAAAUUUAUAAGUGCAAAAUCAUGGAUCGGAUAUGGAUUGAUGUCUCGCAAAAUCCGAUCCACGAACACCCCUAGAUUUUGUUAUAACUUGUGGAACAUUGUUAUCCUGAUGUUUAGAUAACUUACUUUUUAAUACAUAGUUAGGAUUUUUUUUAUGAUGCUGCAUGAAUUUUUACCCUGCUCAUAAUAAGAUCAUUAUGAACCUCUAAAUUUAUAUGUUUUUAUCUUCACCAUUGAUUUAAUUUAGUGCAUAAAUAACUAAUUACUUAAAAAUUAAUAGAUAAUAUUCAAGUUAAUGGACAAUAUUUUAUUUUUUAUAAUUUGACAAAUAUUUUCUAAAUCAUCAACAAAAUUAAAAAUUAAAUAUGCAAAUAGACAAAUUAACUUAUAUGUGUAAAUAACAAAUAUGGAUUAUUCAAUCUUCGACAACACAUGUUAAUAUGGGUCCUUUUGUUAUUUAUAAUUGGAACAAUAUAAUUUUGUCGAAAAAGAGAUAAUAAUAAGAGGAUAAACUAAGAUUGAGUUGUGUUAAUAUUAAAAUACAUAUUUUUUAAAAGAAAAUAUAGAAGUUUUAAUAGAAAAUAUACUUGUUUCUUUUUUAUUAUUUAAUCUUUAAAAAACACUAUUAAUUUUGUGAAUUGUUAAUUAAAUCUAACAAUGCAUAUUUAUAUCAAUAUUGAUGCUAUAAUUUUUAUAACAACAUCAUAGAGUGACCCACUUAAUUAAGGUUUAAUCAUCAAUCCUAGUUAGCCUUUGUAUAUGGGUUAAAAAGGGAUAAUGCUCGUUUAAUCUCUGUAGUUCAAGAUAAUUAUUUAGUUGGGUUUUGUAUUUUUGAAAAUUAUCUAAAACAACCAUGUGGUUACUUUUGUAAUUGUUCAAUCUAAUUUUUCAGGAUUAAAAUAUUAUUUUUUCUAAUUUAACUUAAGAUUAAAAAAAAUCCUAACAUGUAACAGAUGAAAAAUAGAUGAAUUUUAAUGUAGACAUAAAAGUACAACAUCGAACUUUUGGUAAUUUUUUCUAAUUUAACUUAAGAUUCAAACUGUUAAGAUUAAAAAAGCAUUCGCCCAUUCAAAAAAGACUUAAUGUUAAAUGAUGUUGUUGUUGUUGUUAUUAUUUUUUACGACAAGAAAAAAAAAAAUUCAUGAUUAAAAAGUAAUCUUUUUUUUUUCCUUCAAAAAAUAACAUUUAGUUCGACAACAACAGUAACUAAAAGACAAAUGCGUCUUGAAUGGUUUUAAAAAAUAUGAGGAUCAAGUAGAUAUCGAUGCCUAAACCUAAUUGAUUAUAGGAGAAUUAACAAUUCGGUCAAGUGAAGACAAUAGUAUUUGAAAAGAAGUAUAAGGAAUUUUAGAAACAGAGUGUUUUAAACGACACAUAAAAAAUUCACAUCAGAUUGCUUAGAGGACUGAUGUGGCUUUGCAACAAACUUCAACAAUGAAGAAAGCUGAUCUGCAAUGUUCUUUUAAUACAAGAAUAUCAAGUAAUUAGUUGGUUAGUUCAUAGUUUGGUCAGCAUAAUGGUUCAACUUGUCCUCGAUCGCCUUGCCAAUUAUGUCACCGUGGGAAAAUCUCAAAUGAUCAGUAAUGCUUAUCGUUCCCUUCCUUAUUCACAUUGCUUACUGGCGGGAAAAGGGCAGAGUUUCAUGGUCCCAUUCCCCACCCAGUUCAGCAGCAUAAGUAGAGUAGAUUGGAGGCGUGCAGGGACAUCAAAAGAAACUCAUCAAUAUAAUAGGUCAAUAAUUAUAUUAAUAAUAAUGAACAAAUUUUCGAGUAGAUGAUUAAUUUUCUUAAAAUUAUAUUGUUAGCUCAAUAACUAAUCUCCAUUGAUACAAGAUAUUUUCCAAUCAAUGUUAUUAUAUAGGAAAAUUAUCAUUCGUAUACCCUAUAGAUGAUUUGUUACACAAAAUACUACAAUACUUUGAGGGUGUAUCAAUCGUCCACCCUAAGUUGACAAAAUGUAUCUGCCGUCCACCAAACCGUUACUUGUCGUUUAAAUAGGAUAACGCCAGGGGGUAAUUUGGUCUUUUCAUAUUAUACAAGUGAUAAUUUAAGGGUAUACAAGUGAUACUUUUCAAGGGCAAAAUCGUCAAUUCGCUAUAAUCCCGUUGACUUUCAAACGGCAACUAACGAUUUGGUGGUCGGCAGAUAGCUUUUGUCAAUUUAAGGUGAAUAAUUGAUACACCCUUAAAAUAUUAUAAUAUUUUUUAUAAUAAAAUAUUUAUAAGGUAUACGAAUGAUAAUAUUCUUAUUAUAUAAACCAAGCCCUGUAAAUAUUUAAAUAAUAAUAAAAAGAAAGGAAAUAACAAGAUGUAAUAUUGGGCAAAUCAGGAGCAAUCAAAAUUACUGGUAGUGGGGUGCUUUAUUGACAAUAAGGAUUCUUUGGCCCAAAAUGUCGGCCGGUCAGAGAAUCAAGUUUACUUUGAAUCUCUGCUUAUUCAAAGGAUUCAAAGUCAACUAACCUUGUUUCGUUAUCUUCUCAGUCCCCAGUCCUCACUGUACUUAAUUGAUUCCUUUGAAGUUUGAACACCCAACAACUUUUCCAAAAAUGAUCCAAUGAAUUUCUUAAUUAAUUAAUUAAUAGAAGUUUCCAUAUCAUCCUCACUCACUUACGUUGACAACCAGAAAAACAUAAUCAUUAUGCAACAAAUUAAACCGUUGGCACCUCAAGGGUCUCCCCAAAAUCUCUCUAUCUAUAGUUAGAUAGAAAUCGAACCCUAGUUUAGAGAACUGAACCAUGCUCCAGAAUUUAUAAAAAAAAUAAAAAAUAAAAAUUAAGGACUUUUCUAAAUUGACUUGAAAAACUCAUUAAUUAAAGAAACAACCAGUUGCUUCUUUUACUUAAUAAGAAAUUGCCUAGUAACGUCAGUUGCAGGACGACGUAAACAAGAAAAAUAUAAGUUUGAUGAGAAAUUCGGUUCAAAGAUCAAACCACGUUUUUGUUUUGAUGACUGUGAAAAUGAUCGGUAAAACGAUAAUUAUGACAUUUAAUAAAACUUAGUAUGCUUGAACUCUUAUUUAUUAUAAUUAUUGUUAUUUUCUAAAAUCAAAUUUUGCUGGUCAAUAUAAUAAAAAACGUGUUUAGCUAAAUUGAUUAGUUGCUAACCCACCUGCUCAGAAAAUUAAGUACUAAUAUAUUUUUUUAAUAAUUAUGACUUACCGAUGGCUGUUUCCCUCAAAAAGCCUCCACAUGCAUGAUGUUUGCUUAUUUGUAUUCUUUAUUUUUAAUUAAAGUUUGAAAGAUAUAAUCUUUUAGAGCAUAGCUUAGGGUUGAACAUGAAAAUCAACAAAAAGCUUCUGCACUAAUUGAAACACACACAUAUAUUUAAACAAGCAACUUGUUAUUUAAAAUGAUAUUGUCUUAUAUUCUACAGGUGCUUUCGGAUUUUACAGAUUUGACAUCAAUUUAUAUCUAAUCCACGAUUUUAUGGAUUAUAAAUUUUCAAUCCAAUCCAAUCCAAUCUAUGGAUUGGUGAAAUUCAAUCAAAAUCCAAUUUAUAUGCCUGCGGAUCGGUUGUGGAUUUGACUCAAUCCACAUCCAAUCCAUCAUUUUAUAGAUUGGUUCGUAG